rnacentral:rRNA from 1 species
UACGAGGGGGCUAGCGUUGCUCGGAAUCACUGGGCGUAAAGCGCACGUAGGCGGAUUGCUAAGUCAGGGGUGAAAUCCUGGAGCUCAACUCCAGAACUGCCUUUGAUACUGGUGAUCUUGAGUCCGGGAGAGGUGAGUGGAACUGCGAGUGUAGAGGUGAAAUUCGUAGAUAUUCGCAAGAACACCAGUGGCGAAGGCGGCUCACUGGCCCGGUACUGACGCUGAGGUGCGAAAGCGUGGGGAGCGAACAGG